rnacentral:rRNA from 1 species
GAUGAACGCUGGCGGCGUGCCUAAUACAUGCAAGUCGAGCGAACGGACGAGGAGCUUGCUCCUCUGACGUUAGCGGCGGACGGGUGAGUAACACGUGGAUAACCUACCUAUAAGACUGGGAUAACUUCGGGAAACCGGAGCUAAUACCGGAUAAUAUAUUGAACCGCAUGGUUCAAUAGUGAAAGACGGUUUUGCUGUCACUUAUAGAUGGAUCCGCGCUGCAUUAGCUAGUUGGUAAGGUAACGGCUUACCAAGGCGACGAUGCGUAGCCGACCUGAGAGGGUGAUCGGCCACACUGGAACUGAGACACGGUCCAGACUCCUACGGGAGGCAGCAGUAGGGAAUCUUCCGCAAUGGGCGAAAGCCUGACGGAGCAACGCCGCGUGAGUGAUGAAGGUCUUCGGAUCGUAAAACUCUGUUAUUAGGGAAGAACAAAUGUGUAAGUAACUGUGCACGUCUUGACGGUACCUAAUCAGAAAGCCACGGCUAACUACGUG